rnacentral:rRNA from 1 species
GAUGAACGCUGGCGGCGUGCUUAACACAUGCAAGUCGAACGAGAAGUGAAGACGGAAACCUUCGGGCGGAAGGCUUUAUUUCGAGUGGCGGACGGGUGAGUAACGCGUGGGUAACCUGCCUCAUACAGGGGGAUAACAGUUGGAAACGACUGUUAAUACCGCAUAAGACCACAGCACCGCAUGGUGCGGGGGUAAAAACUCCGGUGGUAUGAGAUGGACCCGCGUUCGAUUAGCCAGUUGGCGGGGUAACGGCCCACCACAGCGACGAUCGAUAGCCGAUCUGAGAGGAUGACCGGCCACAUUGGGACUGAGACACGGCCCAAACUCCUACGGGAGGCAGCAGUGGGGAAUAUUGCACAAUGGGGGAAACCCUGAUGCAGCGACGCCGCGUGAGUGAAGAAGUAUUUCGGUAUGUAAAGCUCUAUCAGCAGGGAAGAAAAUGACGGUACCUGAGGAAGAAGCCCCGGCUAACUACGUG